UACAGAGGUCUCAAGCGUUGUUCGGGUUCAUUGGGCGUAAAGGGUGCGUAGGCGGCGCGGUAAGUCGGGUGUGAAAUCUCGGAGCUUAACUCCGAAACUGCAUUCGAUACUGCCGUGCUUGAGGACUGGAGAGGAGACUGGAAAUUUUACGGUGUAGCGGUGAAAUGCGUAGAUAUCGUAAGGAAGACCAGUGGCGAAGGCGGGUC
rnacentral:rRNA from 1 species